rnacentral:rRNA from 1 species
AUGCAACUAAUGAAAUGGUUCUACGGGAAUCCUAAAGAUGUACCAUACACAACAAAGGACAUCGCAAACCAGCGAGCUAAAUAUCGGAUGGAGUACCGCCAUGCUGAUGUGGGGAGCACAAUCUCAUACUUCCAAGAUAUGAAGGCACAAGAUCUAGAUUUCUAUUGGAGAAUAAAGCUUGAUGAUGAGGACAGAGUGGAAAAUUUAUUCUGCAUAGAUGGUGCGUCGCGCAGGGCAUAUGCUAGAUACAAUGAUGUCAUCUCAUUUGACACAACAUACAUGACAAACAUGUACAAAAUGCCCUGUGCACCCUUCAUUUGGCAAGUAUUUGUCGGACGUAAAUGUUUUGUAUGA